rnacentral:tRNA from 1 species
UAGCGGGAAGUUUCACCUCGGCUAGUGAAACGGUGAGCCAUCACCUCGCCAGGAAAGACUUCAGGCUUUCUCGAGACC